AACAAACGCUGGCGGCGUGCCUAAUACAUGCAAGUCGAACGGGGAAAGCUUUCGGGUGAGUACUAGUGGCGCACGGGUGAGGAACGCGUGGAUAAUCUGCCUUAGAGUGGGGGAUAACUAGUCGAAAGAUUAGCUAAUACCGCAUAAGACCACAGGAGCUGCGGCUCAAGGGGUCAAAGGUUUUUCGCUCUAAGAUGAGUCCGCGUAAGAUUAGCUAGUUGGUGAGGUAACGGCUCACCAAGGCGACGAUCUUUAACUGGUCUGAGAGGAUGAUCAGUCACACUGGAACUGGGACACGGUCCAGACUCCUACGGGAGGCAGCAGUAGGGAAUAUUGUACAAUGGAGGAAACUCUGAUGCAGCGACGCCGCGUGAGUGAUGAAGGCCUUCGGGUCGUAAAGCUCUGUCGCAGGGGAAUAACACAAUGAAGGUACCCUGUAAGAAAGGAUCGGCUAACUUCGUGCCAGCAGCCGCCGUAAGAC
rnacentral:rRNA from 1 species